AAAAAAAUAAAAAAAUAAAAAAGAGCAGCUACUGAGAUUGGAGCAAUUGUGGCAGCAACUUCCUGCACAAGAAUUGGCAGAAGAUGCUCCUUUCCCACAUGAUCAGCCUGAGCUUUGGGAAAGCGUGAACUUCAGAUCUUUGGAGCAUGUAAAGCAACAAGGCAUCAAGGCAGCAGUGACACAGGCAGUAAUAUCCUUCGGUAAAUGCCGUUCAAUGCAGCAGAGCUUCUUAGCGAUUAAAGGAGCCUUGGAAAUGUCA